rnacentral:rRNA from 1 species
AUUGAACGCUGGCGGCAUGCCUUACACAUGCAAGUCGAACGGCAGCACGGACUUCGGUCUGGUGGCGAGUGGCGAACGGGUGAGUAAUGUAUCGGAACGUACCUUUCAGUGGGGAAUAACGUAGCGAAAGUUACGCUAAUACCGCAUAUUCUGUGAGCAGGAAAGCAGGGGAUCGAAAGACCUUGCGCUGAUUGAGCGGCCGAUAUCAGAUUAGCUAGUUGGUGGGGUAAAGGCCUACCAAGGCGACGAUCUGUAGCGGGUCUGAGAGGAUGAUCCGCCACACUGGAACUGAGACACGGUCCAGACUCCUACGGGAGGCAGCAGUGGGGAAUUUUGGACAAUGGGGGCAACCCUGAUCCAGCCAUGCCGCGUGAGUGAAGAAGGCCUUCGGGUUGUAAAGCUCUUUCGGCCGGGAAGAAAUCGCAUAGGCUAAUACCCUGUGUGGAUGGCGGUACCGGAAUAAGAAGCACCGGCUAACUACGUG